AACGAACGCUGGCGGCGUGGAUAAGACAUGCAAGUCGUGCGGAGAUUUGCGGGUAGCAAUAUUUGCAAAUUUUUAGCGGCGAACGGGUGCGUAACACGUAGCUCACCUACCUCGAAGUGGGGGAUAGCUCGACGAAAGUCGGAUUAAUACCGCAUGUGAUUGUAAGAUUAAAGCCGGGGCUCGUAAGACCUGGCGCUUCGAGAUGGAGCUGCGGCCUAUCAGCUUGNGGUCGGGGUAACGGCCCACCAAGGCGAUGACGGGUAGCUGGUCUGAGAGGACGACCAGCCACACUGGAACUGAGACACGGUCCAGACACCUACGGGUGGCAGCAGUCGAGGAUCUUGGACAAUGGGCGCAAGCCUGAUCCAGCGACGCCGCGUGAGGGAUGAAGGUCUUCGGAUUGUAAACCUCU
rnacentral:rRNA from 1 species